rnacentral:rRNA from 1 species
UCGUACAGGUUUCCGUAGGUGACC